rnacentral:rRNA from 1 species
GACGAACGCUGGCGGCGUGCCUAAUACAUGCAAGUAGAACGCUGAAGGAGGAGCUUGCUUCUCCGGAUGAGUUGCGAACGGGUGAGUAACGCGUAGGUAACCUGCCUGGUAGCGGGGGAUAACUAUUGGAAACGAUAGCUAAUACCGCAUAACAGUAGAUGUUGCAUGACAUUUGCUUAAAAGGUGCAAUUGCAUCACUACCAGAUGGACCUGCGUUGUAUUAGCUAGUUGGUGAGGUAACGGCUCACCAAGGCGACGAUACAUAGCCGACCUGGAAGGGGGAUCGGCCACACUGGGACUGAGACACGGCCCAGACUCCUACGGGAAGCAGCAAUAGGGAAUCUUCGGCAAUAGACGGAAGUCUGACCGGGCAACGCCGCGUGAGUGAAGAAGGGUUUCGGAUCGGAAAGCUCUGUUGUAAGGGAAGAACGAGUGUGAGAGUGGAAAGUUCACACUGUGACGGUAUCUUACCAGAAAGGGACGGCUAACUACGUG